UGUCCACUCAAGGGAAUUCUCAAGCAGAUCAGUGGGUAAAGACCUACAAACUACAGUUAUCCACAGAUGGGACAACUUGGACAGACUACAAGGAAGGUGGACAAAUUAAGGUUCUAGAUGGAAAUCUUGACCGAAACUCAGAGGUUAAACAUGCUGUUUAUGGAGUGUUGACCAAAUAUCUCCGAUUUCUGCCUCAAACUCACCAGGGUGGGGUGUGUAUGAGAACAGAGGUGUUUGGAGUGA